rnacentral:misc_RNA from 1 species
GCAAACUUGGUCAUUUAGAGGAAGUAAAAGUCGUAACAAGGUUUCCGUAGGUGAACCUGCGGAAGGAUCAUUAAUGAGAACGUGCCCUUCGGGGUAGAUCUCCCACCCUGUGUCUACACUACCUUUGUUGCUUUGGCAGACCCGCCCUCGGGCCGCCGGCUCCGGCUGGCCAGCGUCUGCCAGAGGAUUCAAAACUCUUGUUAUCUUUGCCGUCUGAGUACUAUACAAUAGUUAAAACUUUCAACAACGGAUCUCUUGGUUCUGGCAUCGAUGAAGAACGCAGC